rnacentral:lncRNA from 1 species
UUUUGUGUUUUCCUCUAAGUAAAUCUUGUGGGUGCAUGUCAAAGGGCUUAUCCCUUUUAAUUUGGCAAUGGUCCAGCCAAUCGCCUCCUUUUGACUUUUUAGUACCUGGAUCAAAUUUUUUCCUCGGGUUUAGAGAGUUUAUUUGAAAUUAUAAUGGGUAAGGUAUUACCUUUUCCUAAAAAUGCAUACUUAAGAUGCUCGGGAAGCGGUUUC